UACGUAGGGACCGAGCGUUGUCCGGAAUCAUUGGGCGUAAAGAGCGUGUAGGCGGCUAUUUAAGUCCUGCGUGAAAUCCUGCGGCUCAACCGCAGACGGUCGUGGGAAACCAUCUGGCUAGAGUCCGGAAGAGGAGAGUGGAAUUCCCGGUGUAGCGGUGAAAUGCGCAGAUAUCGGGAAGAACACCCGUGGCUAAGGCGGCUCUCUAGUACGGUACUGACGCUGAGACGCGAAAGCGUGGGGGGCGAACAGG
rnacentral:rRNA from 1 species